rnacentral:misc_RNA from 1 species
CUCUUACGUCAGAGUUUAUCCAUUCUUCAUUGAUUAUCCUAAUAAAAAUUAAUUUUCCUUCAGUUUCUUUUAUUUUCUAUUCCUUUCAUAAAGUUUCCUCAACUCCAAACAGGGGAAAAUGAAACAAAAGGAAAAAACUGUCCAAACAUCUUUACUAAGUUGAGCUCCUCUCUAUUAUCUCUAUUCUUUAAAUCCAAAUCGUCUCUUAUCAAUUCAUCCACAGAAUUUUUAUCUUCUCUUUUAUCUCCUAAUUCACCACCAUUAACACACACUCACAAUCCAUCCAUGCUUUGUCAAUAAAGUGAAGAAAUUCCAGAAAAAGACGACAAAGAAAAGGUGGGUUUUCAGACCCAUCUCAUUUCCAGCUCUAUUUAACGAGAACAAGGAAGAAAAUAUUCAUGGAAAUGUACACAGUACUAUCCGUACUCAGUCUAUUCUGUUAAGGAUUCUGUUUCUUGCAGUUUCUGAUUCAAUUACUGUAUCCAGAUACCUCGUGAAUGGAUCUAACAAUACGGUUCAGUGCACUGUAAAUUUACUGUUUGUUGUUCUUCUUCUUGUGUUUGCACAAUCUGGGUUUUCAUCUUCUGUGUUGGUUUUGCUAUGGACGCAUGAUUUUGGGUACCCGUCUUGUGGAUUGAUAUUUGUAUUAUGAAAUUUUUUGUGGUGAGAUUUGAGUUGGGAUAAAGGAACCUAUUUGGGUGGUGCUUUUUGUUAU